CCUCUUCUCCUUCUUAUUUGAUUUGUAAUUGUAUGUUAUACAUCAUCUCAAGAUCCUAUCUUCACCCCAUAUAUGGUGGAUGAUGGAUCUAGGGGAUUACAUGUGGCAAAAGAUCAUGGAAACCCUAAAAGGGAGAAUGAUGAUUUUAUGUGCUUAUGUUUAUUUUCAUGUUGAUUAUUAUUACAUCCUUGAGGCUAAAUGAAAUCCUAAUGAUCCCUAACCCUUUUUAGUACCACCAUUAUCAUGGGGACUGAAUUGGGAUGAUGAACACAUCUUAAAAUGUGUUUCAAAGGGAGAAGGAUGGAUAAGCCAAAAAGGAAUCACGGGUGGCUACGAUUCUGUUUUCCAUCAGAUCUGUAGUCAUUUUGUAAAACUCAUAUCUUGAGCUCUAAACUCAAACGGACCCCAAACCAGUUCCAAAAGUUCAAAAAUUGAGUUGGAUAACUUUAUUAAGAAGGCCAACCUCACUGAUAAGGACUUUAUCUUUGGGAAAGAAUGGCAUCUUUGCUGUUAGGUCUGAUCCGGGUUUGUUAUGAUAUGUCAUUUUGUUUUCAUCAUUUCUAAAGCUUGGAAAAGGAUCCAGAGUGGUCGCAUCUUUGCUGUUAGGUCUGAUCCGGGUUUGUUAUGAUAUGUCAUUUUGUUUUCAUCAUUUCUAAAGCUUGGAAAAGGAUCCAGAGUGGUCCCAAGUUUCUAUAUGUUCCUUAUAUUAUUAAUUUAAGAUCUGGAGAAUAGGGAGUGUUAUUUCCAAUUAUAAAUUGGUUAGAAUGGAUCCACACUCC
rnacentral:lncRNA from 1 species